UACGUAGGAGGCGAGCGUUGUCCGGAAUCACUGGGCGUAAAGCGCGUGUAGGCGGGAAGGCAAGUCUGCUGUGAAAGCGCCUGGCUUAACCGGGCGAGGUCGGCGGAAACUGCUUACCUGGAGGACGGUAGAGGGGGGUGGAAUUCCCGGUGUAGUGGUGAAAUGCGUAGAGAUCGGGAGGAACACCAGUGGCGAAGGCGACUUCCUGGCCUGUUCUUGACGCUGAGGCGCGAAAGCUAGGGGAGCAAACGGG
rnacentral:rRNA from 1 species